ACAAAGUGAAUGUGGUGAUCUUGCAGGCAUACGGAAGUUCGCGCCAUUUUGCUUUCUAAUAGCGUGUGCAAUGAUUUUUAUGUCGCAACCGAGGACCAAGGCUGCAUCAAAGCCGGCUCGUGAGCAAUCAAACGCGGCAUGGUUGUGUUCGGCAUUCCACCGGGUGCAAGUUGGGGCUUUACCGCAGUAUAAGGUCGAAUUCGUUAUCACCGAAGUUUUUGAGGAGCGACAGUGGGGCACUACAGAAGGUCUCACUGGGCUUUCACCUUAACCAUUGGUAGGAUUUGUUUGGUGAUAUGGGAUCUUUGUUGUCCCAAUCGAUGUAUUUCAACGAGUGAUAGUAGUCUGAAGGUCCUCAGGUUGAGGUUAGGGCAUCCGAAGUGUGUUAACCUUCACUUAGAUUAGUGAAGAUCGGCUGCUUUCGGAAGAGUUCACACUCUUGAGCCUUCCUUACAGAUCGACGCAGCUUUUGUAUCAAGGUGUAAGUUUGUGGAGGUUUCAUGUGCUAGAAAUAGAGCUCACGUUUGUGAUAUUUACAAGCAGUAAAUGAAAAUUGGAGCUCUUGAGGGUGCUCAUGAUUUUUGUUGGCAUAGUUUGUGGAUUUUUGUUUCGCAUUGUUUGUGGAUGAG
rnacentral:lncRNA from 1 species